GCAAAGGUUUCCUCGGGCCAGACGGACAUUGGUCCUCGAGUGCAAAGGCAGAAGGGAGCUGGACUGCAAGACUCACCCGUCGAGCAGAGACGAAAGUCGGCCUUAGUGAUCCGACGCGGUUCUGUGGAGCGGUUUUGC
rnacentral:ncRNA from 1 species